rnacentral:lncRNA from 1 species
AUCCACUAACUUUUGGAAAUCCCAUCCGUCUCACGGUCAUUCCAAAAGAUGUACCGGAAACUGCUCCGGUUCUGUCCAUCUUGUCCCCUUUCAAGGGCGAUGGACCGGAUAUUUGUCUGGCCGCCGGGUUCUUUCCUCAAGAAAAGAAUAUGACUUUGACUUUGGAAGGUAACGAACCUAAAAGUCUUACCCCCAGCAAUGCACCUUUGUUCAGCACGACCAAAACCUAUUAUUAUGCUGGAUUCAGUGAUAAUACAAAAAUCAAUGAAUGCAAAAUGGAUGGACAAACUGCAGACAAAACUCCAGACACUCCUGAAACGACAGAUAAACCCGAAAGACCGACUCCAAACAAAUGUGAAACAAAUGCUAAAACUUCUGCCUCAGGGUUCAUAGACACUGGUGUUCCAAAAAUGAACUUCAUGAAUCUUCUUGUGACAGGUCUGAGAAUUCUGCUUGCUAAAUGUGUUGCAGUUAAUGUAAUGAUGACUGUAAAGGCAUUCGUAUUUUAAAAGUUCAAUUCAGCCAAAUCAUCUGAAUAAUCUCAAUUAUUAAGUGUAACUUGAUCGAACCCUGACAAACAAACAAAUGCGGUUAUACAGUCAGCCACAGGGUCAGUAUUAAUCUAUAUUCUGUCUAAUAAUGUUACAUGGAAUGAAAAAUACAAAUUGUUAGUAAUGUCUUUCAAAUAUACAGAAUAUCAACAAACAUUGCAAACCUUUUUGACAUUUAGAAACAUUUCUGAAUUCAGCGGUAUAAUGUGUGUAUUGCUUUGCAUUGGUGUGUGUAUUUUCAGCUUUAGUUGCAAAUAAGUGCAAGUUAAUUUUUUUAUAUACUUUUACAUUUUUUACUUUUUUUUCCUUCUUUUUUUUUACAUAACAGUAUUGCAUUGUUUAAGACUUUUACAUUGUCUAAUUGUAUAACGGAUAACUAUUUGACUUUACUAUUGAGGCACUGAUCUUUGCAUGUAAUAUGAUUUUUCAAAAAUAUAUUAAAUAAUAAAAUGUCUUGAUAAAAGAGAAGUUUCAUGUGAGUAUGUCUAAACCACAGUUUCAACAGCACAUUGGUACUGGAGGCAGAUUCUAACCACAGUUUCAGAUAAAGAUCUACUGCUCGCUUUGGGUUCCAAGAAUUAGUAUGUUUGUUGCUUCAUUUUUUCCACUGUGUUAAAGAAAGAGAAAAACAGCUGUAAAGUCUUACAGCUACAGUUUUUGGAGUUUUUUUAAUUACUUAAAGUUUUUAAUUACUUAACUUUUACAUAAAAUUAUUUAAAAAUAAAUAUUCCUCAAAAUAGCUUGUCAAACCACUGUUUUGAUGAUUAGCCUACAUUUGAGAAAAGUUAGUAAGUUACUAAGUCUGUUGAGAGCACUUUUUUUGUUUUCUUUAUAAAUCACUUAAUUUUAUUAUUUAUGAACUAUUUAUUAAUGAAUAUUAAGUGAUGUUCUCAACUUUCUUUCAUGAAAACUUUGAGCUGAGCUCGCUACUCAUCUAAGACCAUGAAAUAAAGUGUACUGCCCUCCUGUGGCUGUUAGUGGGAUUUUGCCUUUGGUUUUGACUGGCUGACUUGAGUGACCUCUAGUGGCAGACUGAGCAUUUACAUCCAGUGUGAUUCCGCAUGUUCCACACGUCUUUGGUUUAUGUAAACAUGAAAGACUCUCAAACGCUUUUGGCUCAAGGAAAACAUGAUUCUAGUCUGGCCCAUGUCCCGUUUUUAGUCUGGCUUACCCCGCUGUUAGACGACCCUUUCUAUCACAGAAUAAUAAUAAAAAAUAUCUUAGCUCUCUGCAAAUAGCACAUGGUGGCAUGGAUAACUAGCUUAAACGUCUGUUUUUGCUUGAUACUCCAUCAAAUAUAAAGCGGGACUCAAUAUUAAGUGUUUUGUUCAAGCACAAACGUUAAAUUAGAGCUAAAACGCUUUAAAAUAAGACUUAGCUGCGUUGACGACAAAAACAUUUCGUUUUAAAUACGUUUACAAAACAAAACCGAAGCAAAUGUAAAUGUUAGCUUAUUAUUAUUUCAGAGAUUGCUUCUGUAUGUUUGUUCACAGAAAUGAACAAGAAAUAAGUUUAGGCCUUGGCCAUGUGUGUAACGUUAAAACUAGGCCAGUAGAACACCAGUGUCUAUAUGAAGAGGUGAGUUACCAUAUAUUUCUCAUUUGAAAGAUUGUCUUCACCUAACUAAAAUGUUCUGCUGGGCAAGGUGGCAUUUUAAUUCUCUGGUUUGAAUUAAUUUUUUAGCAAAGAUUGAGGUGUCUGACACUUUUAAUACACACACUGUUUCUUACAGAAGAAGUACAAACUUAUUCCAGGAUCUGAUAUAAACUGGGAGUAGGGGGACACUAAGGUAAGGAUUUAAACUCUUUCAGAAUUGAUUUGUUUCACCACAAUAUCAAGUUUAAAUGUAUUAGAGAGGUUUUUGCAUCAAGAUCAUUGAUGCAUGAUAUUAUUAAUGUCAUCAGUGAAUUGUAAACUUUUUUUUUUUGGCAUGCAUUUGAUAAUUCUAAAAUUUAGGAGGAAAUUAUAUGAAAUAUAGAAGUGUUUUGAGCAUUUUAAGCUUUUAUCAUUGAUCUUGAAUGCUUGCUAAAUUAUGAUUUGAAGAUAUACCAUUUUAAACGAUCUUCUUUAUGUGUAUCUUGUGUGAGGAGGUUUUAUGUAUGAGAAUGCAACACUGUGGUCAUCUGGUUCUGGCUCCAAGCUCUUUAUGGGAUCUGGAACAAAGUUAAUUGUGCAGAUCAGUGAGUAUUAUUUUAAAUAGAUUUUAUUAUUGCUUCAUAGCAUGACAUUUUGGCUUGAAACUACUUUUUAAUUUUUUAAUUUUUUUAAUUUUUAUUUAAAGGGUAGUGAAAUGAGUGAUGAUGAUUUUUCAUAUGAUCAUCACUUGUGAUAAUUCAAAGCAUAUAAUUUAAAUGUUUUGUUUUGAGUUUGCACAUAGAAAUAUAGAUCAGUUGAAGGAUAUUGAUAUGGUGUUUAGUGUUGUGUGAAUGACCGGGGAGUCAGUAAGAUAAUCUUUGGCACUGGUACAAAACUUUUAGUGGAAUCAGGUGAGAUUUAUAAUUCUUUAUUGCGUUUAAGUCUUCUGUGAUGCAAGAAAGUUACAUUUAUGUACUACUUUGUUUAUUAUACAGACAAAAAAAUAUUAAUUCACUCAUCAGCUUAUUUACAAACCAGUUAGUUUUUAUUUUCAAAGGAUGAAAAAGAGAGUGGAAUAUUAAAUCUAGUGUCAGUCCUUAAAAAUAGAUAAAGUGUUCUGUUGAGGUGUUUUUGUUAAGCAGUGUAGUGCAGUGUGAAUGCAAUAGGGGUUAACCAGGUCAUAUUUGGCAAUGGUACCAGACUCAUUGUGGAAUCAAGUAAGUUGUUUAUUUGUCGAACUAAAUAUUUUGAUAGGUCACUGAAUUCAGAUGUUAGAUUAAACAUAAAAUUGAUUGCAGGUCCUAUUUAGUGUUACGCUUCUAAAAAUCAGUUUGAGUAAUUGUAAUGAUAAGGUUUAAUCUUAGUAUCUUUUUGUAAAAUCUAAAAAACAAAGUAAUGUUGCAACAACAUUAAAAGAUCCAACUGCAUGGCUGUUGUAUUUGAAAGUGUUUAGUAUUCGGUUACUUUUUACCUUCAUCUAAAUCCAGUUUUAAUCUAUGUGAAAAUUCAACUAAAUGUCAUAUGCCGCUUAAUAGGAAAAUAUAAAUAAUUUAUGUAAUUAUUGAAAUUGAUUUCAAACAUUUCUGUUUUCAAAAUUACUGUACGAGGGGUUUGAGGCAUUAACAGGGAGUUUCUGUAAUGGUGUAUAUCUUUGUGUGACUAGAGGGAAUGACAAGCUUGUUUUGUCAAAUGGCACCAAACACAGGGAGUUUCUGUAAUGGUGUAUAUCUUUGUGUGACUAGAGGGAAUGACAAGCUUGUUUUUGCAAAUGGCACCAAACUAAUUGUGGAAUCAAGUAAGUUUCUGCUCUCUAAUGUUUAAAUCACUAAAAAUAUUUAUCUUAGAAAUGACUUUUAAAUACUAAAUAAGCCGUUUGCAAAAAGUAGUUUAGUAUAAUACAAAUAUUUUGUGUGCAUUUUAAAACAACUUAUUUUUAUCACACUUCUUUAAAAUAUACCUAAACAUGUAAUCAAACAUUUAAUGUUUGUGAUUGUUUACUACAUUUAUCAUAUGAGUACAGCAUUAUUGAUGGCUCCGCUGGGAUUUUUCAGAGGUAGAAUUAAAACAUCAUAUAUAAGUUACAAAUAACAUGCCAAAUUUUCUUGAACAAACAAAUCUAACAGAAUAUUUAUUAAAAAUGCAUAAUAAAAUCUCCUCUGAUAGGUAUAGAUAUGUAGUUUUAGAGAUUGCCUCUAAUGCAUAGGUUUGUGUAUGGAUGUAUAGCCAUGUGUGAAUACUGGCAGUCUUGGAAAGAUAAUCUUUGGUAAAGGAACCAAACUUAUCAUCCAUUCAAGUAAGUUUGGACUUUUAAAAAAAAUUCAGUUAAAAAAUCUUCAGAGUUGUGCGUUUUGUUUUAUUUAAAUUUUUCUUUUUUAUAUUGAGAAAGUUCUGUGACUUUGGUGCUAGAAUUGCUUUAGUAAUUGGGCAAAUGUUGAAGGAUGAAAUAUUAAAA